UGGGGAAUUUUGCGCAAUGGGCGAAAGCCUGACGCAGCAACGCCGCGUGAGUGAUGAAGGCCCUUGGGUCGUAAAGCUCUGUCAGUGGGAACGAAGUGCACGAUGUUAAUAGCGUCGUGUUUGACGGUACCCACAAAGGAAGCACCGGCUAACUCCGUGCCAGCAGCCGCGGUAAUACGGAGGGUGCAAGCGUUGUUCGGAUUUAUUGGGCGUAAAGGGCGUGUAGGCGGUUUUGUAAGUCUGAUGUGAAAGCCCUGGGCUCAACCCGGGAAGUGCAUUGGAAACUGCAAGACUUGAGUACGGGAGAGGGCAGUGGAAUUCCCAGUGUAGGAGUGAAAUCCGUAGAUAUUGGGAGGAACACCGGUGGCGAAGGCGGCUGCCUGGACCGAUACUGACGCUGAGACGCGAAAGCGUGGGGAGCAAACAGG
rnacentral:rRNA from 1 species